UUUAAACUCAUUCCGCCCUUCUUUCAUAUUUGUGUGGUUCAGUCUCUGUUUUUGUGUUUCAAACUUCUUUGUUUCUUUGAUGAGGAACCCAAAAAAGUAGCACUUGAGAAAGGAAGAGGUGGAAUUGUGAUAAUUCAUAUAAAGGUAGGUCUUUGUACACUUUUUACUAAUAUGUAAUAUCAUCUUAGUUAGCACAAGGUGUUUAAAUUUUCACAUCAUAGUUACGAAUUGGUUCUUGCAGGGAUUUAGAUCAAAAUUGAGUAUGAAGAAGGAUAUAUUAAGAAUUAGAAGCGGAG
rnacentral:lncRNA from 1 species